GACGAACGCUGGCGGCGUGCCUAAUACAUGCAAGUCGAACGCUCAAACACGCAGCUUGCUGAUUUCGGGUGAGUGGCGGACGGGUGAGUAACACGUGGGAAAUCUGCCUAUAAGAGUGGGAUAACAUUCGGAAACGGAUGCUAAUACCGCAUAUAUUCUUGAACCGCCUGGUCCUUUAGAGAAAGACGGCUUUGCUGUCACUUAUAGAUGAUCCCGCGGCGUAUUAGUUAGUUGGUGGGGUAAAGGCCUACCAAGACAACGAUACGUAGCCGACCUGAGAGGGUGAUCGGCCACACUGGGACUGAGACACGGCCCAGACUCCUACGGGAGGCAGCAGUAGGGAAUCUUCCACAAUGGGCGAAAGCCUGAUGGAGCAACGCCGCGUGAAUGAAGAAGGUCUUCGGAUCGUAAAGCUCUGUUAUUAGAGAAGAACAAGUCUAGGAGUAACUGUCCUCGCCUUGACGGUACCUAAUCAGAAAGCCACGGCUAACUACGUG
rnacentral:rRNA from 1 species